UGGGGUGUCGCCAAGUGGUAAGGCAAGGGACUUUGACUCCCUCACUCGUAGGUUCGAAUCCUGCCUCCCCAGCCA
rnacentral:tRNA from 2 species